rnacentral:misc_RNA from 1 species
GAUGAAGAACGUAGUGAAAUGCGAUAAGUAGUGUGAAUUGCAGAAUUCAGUGAAUCAUCGAAUCUUUGAACGCACAUUGCGCCUCCUGGCAUUCCGGGAGGCAUGCCUGUUCGAGCGUCAUCAAACCCCAUCGUGCAAAUGAAUUAUUUUUUUUGCGCGGAAGUGACGAUUGAGCGAGAAUACCAAAUCCUCUCGCACCUCGUCGAAAUGAUUGCGGGCGGAAUUUGGGAUCGGGUUCCUCGGCGUAGUGUAUCAAUGCAUAUUUAUGCAACUUGCCGCGGAGUUGAGCCUGACCCACGCGUUCUCGCCGUACAAACACCUCAUUACUUUACAAGUUUUUGACCUCGGAUCAGGUAGGGAUACCCGCUGAACUUAAGCAUAUCAAUAAGCGGAGGA